UCGAGGUUGUUCUCAAUCCAUUGAAUAAGCAGUCUUCAGAUACUCAAAUGAAGAUCCGUCCCUUCUUCUUUAUCAUCAGUAAUCUCUAGCAGUGCUCUCUGGGCCCCAAGAACGUAACUUACCAUGGAGUUUUUAAGAGCUUAUGCUGGGACAAUGCUGUGUAUUCUGUCUGCCAGGACUCAAGAAAGUUCUUUAAUUGUUUUCCAUCUAGCACAUUUCUGUGGCCGAGGGCUUGCUUCAUAACUCACACAAAAUGUUAUUAUGAUGAAAGUCAAACCUUUCAGGGCAGUCUUCAUAUGUGGUGAUUGCCAAAACUAAAUGAUCUGAUGGUGUGAACCUGGGGAAGUAGUCUCACUGGUUAUCUGAUGUCUCCACGUUUUGCAGCAAGACUGUCAAGAUAUAUAGCAGUGAUGAAGAGAGGCAUAGGUGGUUAUGCUUUUCCACAAUCUGAGUUACCUGUGAUAACAGCAAGACAUGGGAACAGCAUGAGCUUCUUCUGCAUGAUCUCUUGGAGAAGCCAAGGAUGCUACUUCCAAUUCACAACAUCUGGCAAUUCAGAAAGUGCUCAUGAAGGCCAAGACAGAUGGAGACUGGGGAGAAAUAAAUGAAAGACAGUAGGCAAACACAGAAAGGAGGUGAGUACAUGUGUCCUUAGGAUGACACUAGGAGUAGGAGUAGGCAUGGACAACAAUGGACAUUAACCAUGCCUCUGAUCCCUACCACUACCUUAGAAUCUGACCAAGAGAAGAAUGGUGCACCUACAGAAACCAUGGCAUGGUACCUGCACAUUGUCUUCUUUUUGAUAUGGAACUUUGCAGCAAAUACCUAAUUUACUUACAGUCUUUUUCUCUGCACUGACACAGUGCUGUUUGCUACCUCUUUGAACUGGCAGUAAGUUGUCACUAGGUCACCAGUGGCUUUAGAGAGUGCACCACCAUCCAGCAGUUCAGCCAUGAGCAAUACAUUGCAGACAACUUUCACUGUCUUUGGAGUAGGAUGGGAGAAAUACAGAGGAUGGCAAGCCCUGGAGAUAGGGAAAUUGGCUUGGAAACCUGUUCAAAUAUGCAAAAUAGUAAUCAAUAUUUUUACUCUAAAAACUAUUUCUGGUUAUUUCUGAUAAGCUAAUGGGUCAAGUGGAGAAGAGAUAAGAGUUUACUGAAAAUAGAUGGCAUCACUUCAAAACAUCUCACUGUGCAAGUUAAAAGCAUUUCCCUAGAAGUAUCUACCACUUGUCUUGGAAAAUACUGUCCCAAAGAGACUACAGAGAUAAAGUUCAGAGAGAGGAAAAUAUCUUUAUUUGGAAUUUAAUGGAGAUACUAUAAGUAUAUUUGAGUAAGAAUGUUUUGGGAUAGGCAGAUAAGCCUAUGAUUCCCUUUCAUUCUCCAAAGGAUUUAUGUCUGGGUAAGGAUGGCAUUUGUUUGUGAAAGCCAACAUCUGUUUCUGUUUGUAUGCUGCCACUUUUACAGUCGUGCAUGGUUAGGUGAGUAGUGCAAGUACUCGAUCAAAGUUGAAUCUUACUGUCGCGUUAGUAAUGUUUGGUUUGACAAAUAAUCAAGAAAUGUACUUUCCUCUGUUAGUCAGUUGCAAGGGUUGAGAGGAGUAACAUUUUACAAGGCCUAAACUCCAUCUGUUGGUUUGAAAAAAAAUGAUGAGGCAAUGGUAACACUCUUUUCCAUUCAUUCAGAUGCCAUUCUGUACUCAAGUGCUCCACACAAGCUCUUUAUCUGCUUUACAGAUCUAUUCACAAAUAACUUGAAUAUUUUUCUCUAACAAUCUUGCUUGUUUAGUCUAUAAUUUCUAUCCCACAUCAGUCCCUAUAUUAGCAAGUAACCAUUGUGACUAAAAAGUAAAAGUACUGAAACUACAUGUAUAUGCUGUGGAGUCGAACAGUGUGAAAGCUGCAGCCAAAGUUGUAAAGUUUUUCAGAGCCUUGGUAUUACUGUCCUGUGUAAAGCAGAGUUUUAUUUUCCGUGGUUAAAUUUGCUUGGUGUCAAACACUGACUUUUUGCCCAAGUCAGAGAAAUACCAAUUUCUUCUAUGUUACUUGAGCCCCCUGCUAUGCUGUAUUUUAGAGGUGCAAGGGAAAAGCCUUCCUUUUGGAUAAAAAGGCAUUAGAUGAAUACAUCUCUGUGUAAAUAUUGGAGGUCUUCUACAAAAAAAGUAGUAAAAGGGUGGCUUAAGUAUCAGCAGCUUUUGUACUUCUCUUUUAUGCUGUAGUGCUGUCAUGGGGCAUCUGCCAUCCUGCCUUAUUGCAGAUUUUCUUGUCAACAAGAUGGUUUGGGGUUUUCUUUUCUGUACAUUUCUGCACUUCUCCAGCCACUGGAAGUGAAAAUGAUGUUACUUCAUUGUAAAGAAGUGUUACUCUGAAAAAUGUUACCUUUAGCAGGAGCUGCUGUUCUAAUCUUUCUGCAGGAGAACACAGUUCCCAGAACUUUGUACCACUCUAGGGAGCUCUGCCCAAGUUGCUCUCUAAAGUUGUCUUCUAUUUCCCCAGCUUCUUCCCUUCUGUCCAUACUUAAGGAUUUCCUAAAUCCAGCACUUUGUGAGAGGGAAGGUGAAAGGGCUCUUUGCUAGUUAUGGAACAGUUUAAAAUGUCUUUCUGAGCUGCUCUUGGCAGAGUGGGUGUAGAAAUGCUUGUAUUGGGGAAAAAAUGAAGAGGUACAAAUGGCAAAUCAUGAAAGCUGUAUGGGAGUUCCUGGUCUUCUGCUAACUUGUUAUCCACAGUUAUGAUGGUGAGCAUCCAGCAGACAGGAGGGGUGUAUGGCCCAGAGGGACACAAGGAAACACAUGCCAGGGCGGCACAGCUUUAUUCCCAAAGUACCCUGUGCUAGAAACAAAGAGCUCAGGUAUAGAAUGGUUUUGUUGGGAAGAAUCUAUACAUAUAUAUAUACACAGAUAUAUAUAAGAGAUCAAGCACUUAAGUUAUCUAUAAAAAUCUGUAUGUACCAAUGUUGUUGCCUUGCAGUGUUGUGAUGUACACUGUAUGUUCUGGGAUCCCUUUGAGGAGUUACAGCCUAAAUCUGUCACUGUGACAGGCACACCUCAGCUUCCUGUUCCCAGCAAGACAGCUGACCCACACCAUGGAACUCCUAUGUAAAAAGCCAAAACUGCUUUAGCUGUUUGUGACAGCGGUGCUUGGCAGAGCAAUCUAUCACAGCAGUCAGGAAUGGAGGGAGGGUGAUAGCAGAGAUCUUUGCAUGUGCUACACUGUGAAGUCCCAUCUUUGGUUCUGAUGAGGAAAAUACAAGGUAGAGCACCUGUCUUGCAUGUACUUGCCAUUCCCUCAGCCACAGGCUGCUUUUAAAAAAUGUUUUGAUUUGUUACCUAAAUGGGGCAAAUCUAAUGUUACAUUUAGGUGUGGGGAAGGAGUGGGGAAAGCUCUCAAAAGCAAUAGGUCCAUGCAUGGAGACCCAGUGUGUUCAGUUUGCAAAACCUACUGCCAUCUGCAGCCUUAACUUUGGCAUUUUAGGCUCCUACUAGUUUGGCUAUACAAAUGUCUCAGCUUCUCUCAUAUUGCUCAUUUGCAGCUGACAUAUUGCCACUUAAAAGUAGUGGCUCAGCUCUGGCUCAGCUCCACGUUGGACUUUAUAACAUCUCAGUAUUUGUUUAUUCAGCACAAAUCAUUUUACUACUGGGUGUAGCUCUUUAUGAGGCCUGUCUCCUGGAGAUAUUGCCAAAGGAAGGAAGUAUAACUAUAUGGUAUUUACCUUACCAUGAUGCUGUUGUAGUCACACUAUUUGACUCAUGCUAAUACAUUCUGUGUUAGAGUAAUACUUGAAGGUCAGAGGAGGAAGGAACGUGUUCCUACAUUUACUUGGAAAAAAGCAAAUGGAGCAAAACACAAAGAUUCAUCUGCUUGGGGGUUUUUCACUUGUAAUACACAAUUGAUGGCAGAAUGAAACUGUUUCAGAGUUAUGUUAGACUUAAUAAAAAAAAAAAAAACUUUAAAAAAAAGAAAAGAAAAAAUCCAUCAACAUUAUGCCUGCAUCACCUGUAGAAAAGUGCUCUAACACCUUCUGGAACUACUUACAAAAGAUGAAGAAAAAGGCAGAAUGCCCUCAUCUGAUUCAGUUUUUGUCCUGAACAUAGGGUGUUUUGAGGACAUGAGACACCUGUUAGCUGAAGAGACCUCAAGAGCAAGGCCAGGACUGGGGAUCUAUAUUUAACAGCAGCAAUGGCUGUACAUUCUGUUUCUCAUUGGUUUCCUGCUGUGCUCCCAACAUGUCAGAUUCCUUCCCUCACAAAAAUGAAAGUUUAGAUGGUCUCCCUUUCAUUUCUCCUACAAGGCAAUUUGUCACACAUUUGUGCUCUCAGUGCUAAAAUAAGUUUAUUAACAUACGUAGAUACCAUUUGAUCUUUCAAACAAAACCUGUAACGUAAGGAUCCAAUUAUGGGAUUGUACAGUUAAUGAUCCUUUUAAAUUUAAAACACCCUAUAAAAAUUUACUGGCAGCUUCAAGAGUCUUCAAACUGUCAUCCUGAAUUGCCACAGAAAGUAGCAUUUUUCUGCUGUGAUAUAAAUCCAGAUUGUUCAUAGGAGAUGAUUAAAUCUAGAAGUAAUUUUGAGGAAAUAAAAGCAGAAUCCAAGGCACACUUCUCUUAAUCAUAGGAGAAAGAUCUCUGCUUUGUUCUCCUGGAACUACUCAAAAUCCUCACCUUCCUUGUGUAAAUGGAUGCAAGAAGCUGAGAUGAAGCACCAAUUCCCGACUCCUCUCAUCUGUAUGGAUCAUGCUUGGAGUCCGACAUGCCAUGCAUGGAUCAGACCUCCCUGAACUAUGCUGUGCUGUCUGCUUAGUGCACACCCAUGGGUGGCAUCUGGGAUCUCUGCAUGCCUGACAUUAUGAGGGAGCGAUUCCUGCAGGGCCCUGGGGUCUACAGAAAUCCUAUAAACAUCUAAAGGCAAACCUCACUGAGACAAAAUUUCUGUGGUGGAAGGUGGGUCCAGGGAAAUUUGCAUGUACAUAUAUAUUUAAGAAGAAGCCAUAUGGGAACAGACAGGAAAUUUCAUUCUUAUAUUCUUAUCACAAGGAAUUUUUUAAUGAAAAUAUAUGUCAUUUAUUUGCCAGAAAAGUAGAAAUCCUAAUACUCACUGUCUGAAUAGCAAAAUGUCAAAAAGGGUAAGAUCCAUAAAAAAAAAAUAAAGAAAGAGAAAUCAUUGGAUCCUUUGUCAGGAAGGUACUGAUAUCCCUUGAAAGUAGUGUCUUUAUUGUCACUGACUGCAGAGGGAGAUGGGAGUGCUGCUUGUUAUCACAGCGGGGGCUAUAUAUUCAGCUGAAGAGUCUCCAUCACCAUGGUAUUUUCAGCAGCUCUCAAUUUUAAUCAUCAAGCUUCACUUUACAGAUGGAGGAAGCUUUUUAGUUCCCUUCUCCCUUUUUAAGAGGUGGUAAAAGGAUUUGCUGAAGAUAUGUAAGGUUCUGGCAACUGCAAAAAUAGAUGUUCAUCUUCUGAAUUCCUGUCCCGUAUCCUAAUUAAAAGAAAUUGAUGUCAUCCUUCCUUCUGUAUUGUGAAAUACACAGUUAAGUAUAGAUAUAUUAGUUUAGCAGCAGGUUGUUUUUCUGAUAAAUGAAGAAGUACAUACAUUAAUUUCAGCUGUCAGCAUGGAUGGAAUUGUUGGGGGAUAGGAGAAAAAAAAAGGCAAAUAGAACCAGGAUGUUUAUCUUUGCAAUUAUGAAUAAGCAACCAGCUGCACAAAGUGUCUAUCAGAAAGGAACACCUUCUGUCGCUGUUUCUGUUAAUCUUAAAGACAUUUAGAUCAAUAAGCUGCAUUAUGAAAGGGGGGAUGUAUGUGCUCAAGCCCUUGUCACUCCAUAAUUUUUCCAUUGUUGUUCCUAUGUGUACAGGCUACUGAUUUCCUCUAAUUUUCACAUGGUUUUUAUGUGUAUUUUGUUUUCCUGCUUGUUAUGAAGUCUCCAUCUAAAGAAAGUUUGUUCUUUUCACUGUUGGCAUUUGAUGGUUUUGAUUGGAGUGUCUCCUUCCUCUGAAAAGAAUGAGCUCCUUUCUUCUCUGCUGUUUUGCUGUUCCUGUACAAAACAAGCCAUCCCUGGUGACUGCUGUGGUUCUUAGGGGGUGGCAGAAAGCAGCUGCUUCUCCUGCUUCAGAGGAGAACCCCAGGGAAGGGGGUGCUCACAUCUUUAGUCCCAGCGAGUCACUCAUAUCACACAAGUCUUAAAAUGCUAGCUUUGGUUUGCUGCUAUGCACUUUUGGCAGUCAAAC